rnacentral:tRNA from 1 species
UUAGUUGAAGCCAAAGUAGAGGCGUAUCACUGUUAAUGAUAUAAAUGAAAUUUAUUUCCAACUAAG